GGUUUAAUUCGAAGCAACGCGAAAGAACCUUACCAAGUCUUGACAUCCCGAUGACAGAGUAUGUAAUGUACUUUCUCUUCGGAGCAUCGGUGACAGGUGGUGCAUGGUUGUCGUCAGCUCGUGUCGUGAGAUGUUGGGUUAAGUCCCGCAACGAGCGCAACCCCUGUUCUUAGUAGCCAGCGGUUCGGCCGGGCACUCUAGGGAGACUGCCAGGGAUAACCUGGA
rnacentral:rRNA from 1 species